GGCAGGAACUAUGGGAGGAAUCUGGCUUCUGGGUUUUUGUGUAGUCACAUUGUGGCUUAAAGCCUUGUCCCAAAAUGAGAUUCCUCUAAAGAAAAAAGUUGCUUUACUCCAGUCAAUGGAUUCCAGGUUGUUUGGAACUUCAAAAGAAGUGCAACUGGAAACCAAUGAAGUGGAAUUGGACGUGUCAAGCGACGCCUCCCACAACGUGUCAAGCGACGCCUCCCACAACGUGUCAAGCGACGCCUC